rnacentral:rRNA from 1 species
UACGUAGGGUGCAAGCGUUAAUCGGAAUUACUGGGCGUAAAGCGUGCGCAGGCGGCUAUGCAAGACAGAUGUGAAAUCCCCGGGCUCAACCUGGGAACUGCAUUUGUGACUGCAUGGCUAGAGUACGGCAGAGGGGGAUGGAAUUCCGCGUGUAGCAGUGAAAUGCGUAGAUAUGCGGAGGAACACCGAUGGCGAAGGCAAUCCCCUGGGCCUGUACUGACGCUCAUGCACGAAAGCUAGGGGAGCAAACGGG